rnacentral:rRNA from 1 species
GCAAGUCGAACGAGGGCCCAGAGCUUGCUCUGGAGACCCGAGUGGCGAACGGGUGAGUAACACGUGACCAACCUGUCCUAGGGUGAGGGACAACCCGUGGAAACCUGGGCUAAUACCGCAUGAUGUCUCGGCUUCGCAUGUUGCCGAGAUCAAAGAGGGCCUCUGCUUGCAAGCUCUCGCCCAAGGAGGGGGGCGAGACGUAUCAGCUUGUGGGUGGGGUAACGGCCGACAAAGGCUACGACGCGUAGCGGAUCUGAGAGGAUGAGC